rnacentral:sRNA from 1 species
AGUAACAUCCUUCCAUGGCCUCUGCAUCAGCUCCAGCUUCCUGACCUGCUACAUUCCAGUCCUGACUUCCUUUGGCGAUGAACAGCAACUGACAAACAGCAAUGCGACACUAUGGGAGACUCAUGAGGUGAGUCGUCGUAGUCCCCGAGACAGAAUAUCUGUAAUCAUUCCCGGAUUGAAUAUAUUUCUGAUGAUCAGAAUGGAGGUCAAGAUGACCAAAUACCUGUCCGCCUACGAGCCACGUUGGAAAGAAGUCUAGGUAGGCUUUCGGAAGAUGAUGGAUAACACACAGACAUGGCCUGAAGAAUCUCUGGGGAAUACGUUGAGUAAAGUUGGUUAAAGCCAUCAGGAGAGAGGUUGUUCGUUGACAGUUUCCCCGCAAAUACGGUGAGCCUUAGUCACUUUCACACCUGUUCCUCUCCCAUCCACCCUCCUCCGGUUGGACUCUUCUCCCUAACAGUCACACCUAGCUUCACGUCGCUUGUCGUGUAAGAUCCGCACAAUCUAAUCACAGUUACCUGCGCGAGCACUGGUGGGCAGUUAUUAGAGCAUCAGCUAUUGCUUGGUGAUAACAACAUCAAAGACAUCGCGGACACUCCUCCCCCCAGCAACUGUUAACUGACAAUAGUCCCUUGCCUGGCAACUGUUAACUGACAAUAGUCCCUAGCCUCACUCCUCUCCAUGCUGAAAUGCUCAAGGCCCAAGCCUGGCCAAGCUUGUGUAGCAAACCACGGGUGCAGCAAACUCAUGAGCACAAGGGCUGUGUCUCGAUCGGAAGAUAUCAUUUCACAGCACGCCUCCUUGUCUUCUAGCUCCUACGUUCUUUCUACCCCUUCUUCCACAGCGUUUCCUGAGCUGUGAUACAGAUGUCUUCUUUCAAGCUAAGAAUUCCACCAUCAAAGUUCUUGGAACUUUGACCAGUUAGGAGUCUCUGCACUAACCACUGCCCACAGCUACAAGAGGCAUUUCUGAGCAAGGCUGAAAGGCCUGGAAUCCAAUCAGAAAGUAACUUACUAUUCCGAUCACAAUCAUGCUACUGUGGCACCAGUGGGUACAUCUUGUCAGAUAGGUCAGUAUUACAGCUUGCAGGGUUCAAAGGUAAGACUAUGAGUGGCUCUUCUCCCCCAGUAGCCUGCAUAACACCUUCUAAAACUGUGAAAGGUAGCCAGCCAGGAGGAGGAGGCUUCCAGUUCAGUUCCGGAUGUCUCUGUGUUCUGAAUCUGAAGUGUGCAGCAACGGGGUCUUACCAUCAAAUUCUGGUGGGCAACCGAGAGCAGUGGUGUCAGCCUGUCAUGUUUUGGGAGCCUCUGGGCUUCCCUGAACCUCCCUGACGAACAACUGGUAAGAUGUUGGUAUUUUCAUUUAAUCCUGCCCACCCGCACAUGGUAACCUUGUUUAAAUUUUGUUCUAAAAUUUUAAAUAAAUGUAUGAAAUAAUAAGUUUCCAAGCUAGUUUUUCCCCCCAUCUACCCUUCCCUUCCAUCACCACCACCACCACCACACCCGUUUAGACCGCUCCAGCCCAGCCUCCCAGGUUCUUCUUUCAGAUCACAUUUGCAAUCGAGAUAUUAAAAAGAGAAACAAGAGGGAGGGGAAAGUCAUGCUCUAUAGUGACACAGACAGGAGAGAUACUGGGAAAAUUCUUGGCCAGAACUGUGGUGAGACACCACUUCAAAAAAACUCCAACUGAGUCCAGCCGGCAGCUUGAGAGCCCAGACCGGCCAUGAAGUUCAUUUUCCAGACACAGAAGCAAGCGCCCACCUAACUGUAUGCAAAAACCUGGUCGGCAGAAUGCCUUAGACUGUAGGGAGGGAAUCUUGGACAGAACCCCGUGCAGGAGCAGGGAGAUGGGAAUGGGGGACAAAGAUCCAGGUUCCAAGUGACCCAGUAAACACUGGAAAGGACUGUCCAGGACAUGUCUCAUGGAUGAGGCCAGCAUCUGUGAUCCAGCCUCACAAAGAACCAUUCAGGGGUGUAACAGGCAUUUGGGACCCCAGGAAGGAAGCCAAGACUAGAAGGGCCAGACUUCAUCCACACUCAAGCCACGCCCCCUUCACCUGGGUCUCUCCUUCCCUGAAUUCCCAGUAUCAAUGCAGGACACCAGCCAGCCAGCGCUGUCCUACUGUGAGCUCUCUCUUGUGCUCACUGUUAGUUUUGCUCUCCUCCUCCCUCCUU